GACAGAGGAUGCAAGCGUUAUCCGGAAUGAUUGGGCGUAAAGCGUCUGUAGGUGGCUUUUUAAGUCUGCCGUCAAAUCCCAGGGCUUAACCCUGGACAGGCGGUGGAAACUACACGGCUAGAGUGCGUUCGGGGCAGAGGGAAUUCCUGGUGUAGCGGUGAAAUGCGUAGAGAUCAGGAAGAACACCGGUGGCGAAGGCGCUCUGCUAGGCCGCAACUGACACUGAGGGACGAAAGCUAGGGGAGCGAAUGGG
rnacentral:rRNA from 1 species